GUGUAAAGUGACAUGAAUAUUUAUUCAUAUAUUCAAUUACAUAUCCAUAUUGUAUAAAGAGGCAUAAGUGAUUAUACACUCCAUAUUCCUUCACUCUAAUAAAGUGAUACUACUUUUUUUUUUUUUAUAUAAUAGUGAUAUCUUAUCAUUCAAUUAAUUCAAAAAACAAACAAUAUCCAUAUCCACAUUUAACCCCCUUGGGGUAAGGGUGCGUAAUCUGUGAAUCCAGUAUGAUUCCCUUUGUGCCAAUCGUUUUUCUUUAUUACCCCCUCUCCAAUGAGGUUGAAUUUGCUCUAUCCCUAUACAACGCAAACCCUUUAGACGAAACAAUGGACAACUAUUGCAAUGGAGAGGAACUGAAUGGGUAUCCAAUUUUUUCUUUAUAUUAUUAAUAUGUUCCAAAAGUCUCACUUUUAAACAUCUCUUUGUACGGCCAACAUAUUGGCUGCCGCAUGGACACUGAAGUAGAUACACCAGGCAGUCUGAGCGGCAGCCAAUCUCUGAUUUAAUAGAAAACUGUUUUCCUGUAACAAAACUGCUGUAUGAUGUAACUUUAUCCGUAUUUACUUGUGAACAAGCUUUGCAACUUUUACAACCUCUAAAGCCCUUUGGCCCUUUUUUAGUGUUUUUAGAUCCAUUUCUUAAGGCAUAGCUUGGUGCUAAUAGGUUCUUAAGAUUUUGUUUUUUUCUAAAAAUAAUCUUUGGCCUUUUGGAUAGAUGUUCUCCCAAAAUGGGAUCCCCCAGUAGUAUUGGCCAGUACUUAUACAAACUCCUUUUUAUUUUUGGAUGGUCCACAUUAUAUUGUGUAAAAAAAGCUUGUUUGAAAUCUUCCCCCUUUUUCCUACUACCAGAACCGUCAAUAAGAAGGUCAUUUCUGCUCUUUUUAGACAUCGCCUGAAUUUCUCUCUUUAUAUGUUUUUGGUUGUAGCCUUUUUUAACUAAUUUAUCGGCUAUAUGUUGCGCCUGUAUCUGAAAAUCCUUGGUGUGCAAACAAUUUCUUCUUACUCGAGUAAGUUGUCCCUUGGUGAUUCCCUUCAACCAAGGUUGAUGGUGACAACUACGUUUAUGAACAUAGCUGUUCCCAUCAGUUGGUUUGAAGAAGCACUUGGAUUUUAUUUCAUUUCCCUCACAAAAUAAAGUGAGAUCUAAGAAAUUGAUUUCUCUACGGUCCCAUACUGGAGAAAAUUUUAAAUUAUAAUCAUUCCGAUUAAGAUGUUGAACAAAAGUACUAAAUUCAGAAUCCGACCCCUUCCAAAUAAUAAUAACAAGUGUGUUUUUCACACUUUUUUCACGGGUGUCCGUGUUUUCUACUAAUUAGCAUAUGCCAUGUGGAGAUUUCGGCCUACUAAAUUUUGACCAUGCUGGAAUCCCAUCACAUUCCCCCCUUUGAUGCCUCUGAUACAAAGUUAUACAAGAUGCAUCACUAACCAUAAUUUGCCAACACCACUCUAGUAACCAUGAACCACUACAGACCUUGUAAUCUUUCUAACUGAACUUCGUGCUCUCUCAACAUUCCUCAUCCUGAUUAUUCUCUCUCUGGGCUAGGGGUUCAUACUUCCAGACAGCCAUUAUUUACACAGACUGAUUGCUAAACACAUUUAAAGAGAGGGACAUUAGAAUUGGAAAGUGGAACAGAUUGAUAUGGGCCCUAAACAGGGACAAUUGGGAGGUAUUUACUAGAAACAUCCACAAAAAUAGAAAAACCUGUUUUUGGAUGUUAAAUGUUUGGAUGUUGCCUAGUUUAACUGCACCACAGCAAUAAUAAUUUCAAUUAAAGGACCACUAUCGUGCCAAGAAAACAAACUUGUUUUCUUUGCACUAUGUAGUCCUUAGGUGCCCCCCACCCUCAUGGCCCCCCUCCCGCUGGGCUGAAGGGGUUAAAACGCUGGACCGCUGGGGAACUCUCCUCUUCCUGAUGAUGUCAGCGGGCAUUCAAACAGUCCAUAGAAAGCAUUACUCAAUGCUUUCCUAUGGACGUCACCGUCUUCUCACUGUGAUUUUCACAGUGAGAAUCACGGAAGAGGCCUCUAAUGGCUGUCAGUGAGACAGCCACUAGAGGCUGGAUUAACCCUCAGUGUAAAAAUAGCAGUUUCUCUGAAACUGCUAUGUUUUAGCUGCAG